rnacentral:rRNA from 1 species
UACAGAGGGUGCGAGCGUUAAUCGGAAUUACUGGGCGUAAAGCGUGCGUAGACGGUAGCGUAAGUCAGAUGUGAAAGCCCAGGGCUCAACCUUGGAAUUGCCUUUGAUACUGGCUGUCUUGAGUUCGGGAGAGGUGAGUGGAAUGCCGAGUGUAGAGGUGAAAUUCGUAGAUAUUCGGCGGAACACCAGUGGCGAAGGCGACUCACUGGCCCGAUGCUGACGCUGAGGCGCGAAAGCGUGGGGAGCAAACAGG